rnacentral:rRNA from 1 species
UGGGGGAAACCCUGACGCAGCAACGCCGCGUGAAUGAUGAAGGCCUUAGGGUUGUAAAGUUCUGUCUUCUGGGACGAUAAUGACGGUACCAGAGGAGGAAGCCACGGCUAACUACGUGCCAGCAGCCGCGGUAAUACGUAGGUGGCAAGCGUUGUCCGGAUUUAUUGGGCGUAAAGGGUUCGUAGGCGGCUUUUUAAGUCAGAUGUGAAAGAUCACGGCUCAACCGUGGUAAGCAUUUGAAACUGGAAAGCUUGAGUUAAGGAGAGGAAAGUGGAAUUCCUAGUGUAGCGGUGAAAUGCGUAGAUAUUAGGAGGAAUACCAGUGGCGAAGGCGACUUUCUGGACUUAUACUGACGCUGAGGAACGAAAGCGUGGGGAGCAAACAGGAUUAGAUACCCUGGUAGUCCACGCCGUAAACGAUGAGUGCUAGGUGUUGGGGGUCAAACCUCGGUGCCGCAGCUAACGCAUUAAGCACUCCGCCUGGGGAGU